rnacentral:rRNA from 1 species
GACUAACGCUUGCUACGUGCCUAAGAUAUGCAAGUCGAACGAGAAUCUACCUUCGGGUAGAGGACAGUGGCAGACGGCUGAGUAACACGUGGGAACCACCCCCAAACUCGAGCAUAGCUCACCGAAAGGUGUGAUAAUUCUCGAUAGUCUGUACGGAUAUUCGUAUUUUGUACAGUAAAGCUCCGGCGGUUUGGGACGGGCCCACGUCCUAUCAGGUUGUUGGUGGGGUAAUUGCCUACCAAGCCUAUGACGGGUAGCUGGUCUGAGAGGAUGAACAGCCAGACUGGGACUGAGAUACGGCCCAGACUCCUACGGGAGGCAGCAAUCAGGAAUUGUGCGCAAUGGCCGAAAGGCUGACGCCGCGACGUAGCGUGAGGGAUGAAGGCUCUAGGGUCGUAAACCUCUUUUAUACAUGAACAAGUUCUGAGUGUAAUGUAUGAAUAAGCGGCUGCUAAUCACGUGCCAGAAGCAUCGGUAAUACGUGAGCCGCGAGCGUUGUCCGGAUUUACUGGGCGUAAAGAGAUGCGUAGGCGUCUUCCCAAGUCAAUUGUUAAAUCUCCCGGCCCAACCGGGAACAAGCAAUCGAUACUGGGUUGAUUGAGGUAGGUAGAGGAAAUCGGAAUUCCUGGUGGAGCGGUUAAAUGCGUAGAUAUCAGGAGGAACACCAAUGGCGAAGGCAGAUUUCUGGACCUUACCUGACGCUAAGGCUCGAAAGCGUGGGGAGCAAAACGGAUUAGAUACCCGUGUAGUCCACGCCGUAAACGAUCCAUGCUAGGUGUUUGUCUCAUAGCCAUCUUUCCUUCGGGAUUGAUGGUUGUGGGGUGAGUGCCGCAGUUAACGCAGUAAGCAUGGCGCCUGGGGAGUACGGUCGCAAGAUUAAAACUCAAAGGAAUUGACGGGGUCCCGCACAAGCAGUGGAGCGCCUGGUUUAAUUCGAUGAUCAGCGAAAAAUCUCACCUAGGCUUGAACUGUAGCUGCAAGCUCCUGAAAGGGAGUCGCCUUCGAGGGUGCUAUAGAGGUGCUGCAUGGCUGUCGUCAGCUCGUGUCGUGAGAUGUAGGGUUAAGUCCCACAACGAGCGCAACCCCUACCCAGUGUUAUAUAUUUCUCUGGGAACUGCCUUGCCAAAACGAGGAGGAAGGAGGGGAUGAUGUCCAGUCAGCAUAUCCCUUAUGUCUAGGGCUACACAGACGCUACAAUGGCAACAACAACGGGCAGCCAAACCACGAGGUGGAGCUAAUCCCAUCAAAUGUUGUCUCAGUUCGGAUUGUAGGCUGAAACUCGCCUACAUGAAGUCGGAAUUGCUAGUAAUCGCGUAUCAGAAUGGCGCGGUGAAUACGUUCUCGGGACU